AUUUCUUUGUCUUAUAAAUUUGGCAUGUACCCACAAAAGAGGUUCAUUAAGUAUACUUUUAGGCCAUUUCAAAUGCAAAAAAAUGUAAAAAUUAAUUGUAAUCAGAUUAACCAUCCGGGGUCAAAACGACCGAGUAUAACAAAAGCUAUUACAAACAAAAAAAAUCAACAUGAAUGCAUAAAUAGCAAUAAUAAAGAAAUGCCAUUUCCUUACGAUUUACAGUCACAUUAUAAUCAUAGUAGCGAAGUAUCGGUUGAUAAACUGAGUGAAAAAGAAAAACACACACAGGGACAUACUUCAGAACAUAAGCAAGAAAAUAAGCAAGAAAAUAAGCAAGGAAAUAAGCAAGAAUAUAAGCAAGAAAAUAAGCAAGAAUAUAAGCAAGAAAAUAAGCAAGAAUAUAAUCUAGAAAACAAGCAAGAAUAUAAGCAAGAAAACAAGCAAGAAUAUAAGCAAGAAAAUAAACAAAAAGAAGAACCUGCGUUAGUUCCAUCCCAACCAACAUUUAAUGUCACUAUAAAUGGUCAAACGCUUCAUACAACACACAUAAAAAAUAAACAAGAAAGUUCAUCAAAUACAGCACAAAACACAGCACCAAAUGACGUAAACUCAAAUGCAUGCACAAAUAAUAGUACCAAAAAAUAUAUAUUUUCAAAUAAUGGUUUAAACAUUUAUGAUAAAUAUAAAUUAUUUUUUUCUAAUAGUAUUAACAACGUUAAAGACUUUGCGUGUGAUAAGAAAACACAAAUGAACAUGUUUAAUGAUUAUAGUAGCAGUCCUAGUACUAAUAGUACAAAUAUCAGCCAUGAUAUUUGCGUUGCAGUUAAUAAUAAAAAAGGUUUUUAUAAUCAAGUCUCGACAAAUAUAAAUGAAAAAUUAUGUCUUGAUAAGGGUCCCUUUAAUAAACAGAAUCACAUUGAGGGAAAAAAGGGUGAUAAUAACAAUUUAUUAAAUGAAAAAAAAAACGAAAAAACAGUAAGUAAUUGUGAAAGUAGUACUAAUAAUAAUGACAACAACGACCAUGGAAAGGAUAGUAAUGGAAAGGAUAGUAAUGGAAAGGAU
rnacentral:lncRNA from 1 species